rnacentral:lncRNA from 1 species
UCAAUUCUUGGCUGGUGCAAUGUUAAUUUCUCACCGAUGCAUGUCGUCGGAUUUAACGUCAGCAUCUAUUUGGGAAACCAACAUUUGCGAAUGUACACGGGCCGGAUUCUUGUUGGCCUAGUACCUGUUUGGUAACUCUGUGAACGUGUUUUGCGCCUCCGACUUAAGGGAUAGGUAUACAUGUGUGUGUCUGAAGAGACUUCGGUGCAAGUGUUUGCGAUACCUGUCCGAGGCCAUCGUCAGUAUAUCCCGUCGGGGUUCAUCUUUAUCGAGGGCUUUCCAUCUCAGUUAACAGGGCAUCGCUUCUCGGAUUCCAGAGACGCCACCAAAAGCAAAAGAAUGGUCAAACGGGAUGUGCAUGUUCUCUCUGAAAACGUCGUGGGGUUUUUACCAACUUCUAAAGGCACUAUUGUAUCCCCUCGUAUGACAUACACAGAAAAUUACAUUCUUUCCGAUCUCUGUACAAUACCAGUGAGACAAGUAUUGAGAGGGGAGCGGCUACAGACGCAGGAGAAGCACUGAACGGUAAAACAGUUCCUUGGAAACUAGGGCUAGGCACAGAGGGAAGUCUAAACACGCGUGGCGCACCGUUCAGGUAAAUCAGGGCAUUUUUUCUUACUUUUGCGUCGAAACUGAUUGUCUCAUUAGGAAAACGCAAAGGUGUCUGAACG